GUCCCGCCAACAGUGUCCCCUUUAGAGACCACACCUCAGGACAGGGCCUUUGGUCUGUUAGUAUUUCCGUUGUUUCCGUUUUUUGUUUUAGUAUUUUGUUUUUUUUUCCUGCAUUGUUUUGUUCCAGACGUGUCAUAACCUGUUAAAACUGCACCUUUGGACCUUCGCUGAAAAUGAUCCAUCCCGAUGCUGAUUGGCUGUCUAGCAGCACAGCAGCAGACUCCGCCCCCUCCCCUUGAUAACACUAAGCCUGUAGAACACUAGUCCUAAUGGAAGCACUACACUCCAAAUGUUUAAUUUAAGUUUCUCCCACAUCCCUGUCUACCCUCCCUCCCUAAGGUGGGAUGGUUUUGGGGAACCCCGCCCCCCCCAUGGUGCUCAUUUCAGUACAGUUAAUAAACACCCACAAUCCUGAGCCUGUGGUCCAGAUAAUCUGUAUGUACCUGAGCCUGCAUGCGCGAUACAGGCUUACUCAGAUACAAAUGUAAGGUAAAGUGUAGGUGAGUGGUGUGGACGUGAUUGGCUGACUCUAAGCAUGCAUGUCUGUGCUUUGUCUCUCUGUCCUUAUCUGCUUUAACUGGGAGGAUCUGUCUGGGAGCUACAGAAAGGGAGUGACAGUCUGAUGAUGGUGUCUUUGGAUUUCUUUGUCUCUGUGUGUGUGUGUGUGUGUGUGUGUGUAUAUGUGCACGACUGCACACAUGCUUGCAUCUAUGUGCGUGUGUGUGCACGUGCACUGGCUUGUGUGUGUGUGUGCACGUGCGUGUCUGUGUAUGUGUGCGUGUGUGUGCACGUGCGCUGGCGUGUCUGCGUGUGCGUGUGCGUGUGCGUGUGUAGUUCCUGUUGAAACAGGCUGGUGUCAUUAGAGCAAUGAUCUUGCUUCACUCAAACAGCUUUGGAUAUUUACCUGUGUGCUGGUGUGCGCUGUGCCUGUGGGCCAUCUGUACACUGUUCUGUUUAACACGCCGCCCCCCCCCCCCCCCAUUUUUCCAGGCGUCCAGUUAGUACCCUCAGAGGCCUCUCCCACCAUACUGCACCCCGCCCCAAAAAAAAAACCUCAUUCUCAAUGUUAGCCAUAAAGACGUUUACAUACUUUUAUACCUGUAUAAUACACCCAUGUUAGUGCGUGUUUCUUUAUGUCUCUGUCUGUUUGUGAAUGGGUAUGUGUGUGUGUGUGUGUGCGUGCGCAUGCGUGUGCAUGUUUGUGUUUGUGUGUGCGUGCAUGUGUGCAUGCGUCAAGUGUCCUGGUGCACAGGAACUGAACAACCAAAGCCCUGCAUCAAAGGGAAUAUGCUAAUAGGCUAACGUAUUUUUAAAAAAUAAAAAAACAAGUUAAAAAUAUAUAUAUAUAAAGUGAAAAUUAUAAUGGGUGUCUCAGCAUUGCCAUGAAGCUUAGGAAGGACUGGAAAAGGUUAAAGGUGACGCAGUGCUAAAGCUAACUGCUCUGGGUAAUUAGGUUGAUGAACGGGCCUGAGAACUUGCUCUACACAGACUUGCUUGCAUGUGCCUUUUAAUCGCACUACAGAUAAAAAACAAGGGUGCAUUACUGUCCUGUUUCAUCAGACUACCUACGGGACUUUUUGAUAUAAUUAAAACACCAUUCUGCUACUUUGUAGUAUUUUUAAUAUACAAAAAUCAUGACAGAAAUGCCUUUUAUAUAUGUGUCCUACCCUGCCUAUUGCUUUGUACUCCAGGUAAUUGUUAAAAACGCUUUAUUGCUAUACUGUCCGGGCGAGUCCAGGAGCUGAUAUAAAAAAAUUGAGUAGCAUUAUUCUGUUAACGUACUUUUUGUGAUUCCUGUACUUGUGUUAAAGAGCAUCAUGUCCGUUUUUCCGUCUUUAAAUAAAUAUGAAUGAAAAAACA